rnacentral:lncRNA from 1 species
CUUGCCAUUCUAGCUAGCAUUUUGCCUAGCAUAAGGAAGAGUAGGCUGACUAGCUGACUUGUUUCCGCGAGAAAGUAGCUAGUGCCGCACGGUUCGUUGGUAGAAAACACCAAGCCCGUGACAGCGAGCACGGAGCCUGCCUACCCAAACGAUCGUGAUACGACUCAUGCACCACCACGUACAAUGAGCAACAAUUCCAAUCAGCGAACUACAACCCCCAACAAGCAUGUUAUGCCCGUCAAGCAUUGCCGAAACACCGAAUGAAACAGCUGCCCCCACCGCUGGGUGCGAAGAGUUUAAGGAUUACCGAAAGAAACGUGCAUCGUCG